UGAAAAGCUUGUCAGACUUUUCGAAGAAAGUGGUCUUUGAGCCGAGACGGGUGAUUCUGGACAAGGAUUACGAAUGUGGAUCAAGCAGGUUUUAAAUCAAGAUUUAACAUUCCAACACAUAAAAAUUAUUUAUCCAACAGCUCCUCCCAGAUCAUAUACUCCUAUGAAAGGUGGAAUCUCCAAUGUAUGGUUUGACAGAUUUAAAAUAACCAAUGACUGCCCAGAACACCUUGAAUCAAUUGAUGUCAUGUGUCAAGUGCUUACUGAUUUGAUUGAUGAAGAAGUAAAAAGUGGCAUCAAGAAGAACAGGAUAUUAAUAGGAGGAUUCUCUAUGGGAGGAAGCAUGGCAAUGCAUUUAGCAUAUAGAAAUCAUCAAGAUGUGGCAGGAGUAUUUGCUCUUUCUAGUUUUCUGAAUAAAGCAUCGGCUGUUUACCAGGCUCUUCAGAAGAGUAAUGGUGUACUUCCUGAAUUAUUU
rnacentral:sRNA from 1 species